rnacentral:rRNA from 1 species
UGCCAGCCGCCGCGGUAAUACGGAGGGUGCAAGCGUUGAUCGGAAUUAUUGGGCGUAAAGGGAGCGCAGGCUGUCUUGCAGGUCAGAUGUGAAAUCCCGGGGCUCAACCUCGGAACUGCAUUUGAGACUGGAAGUCUGGAGUUCAGGAGAGGUUAGCGGAAUACCGAGUGUAGAGGUGAAAUUCGUAGAUAUUCGGUGGAACACCAGUGGCGAAGGCGGCUAACUGGACUGAUACUGACGCUGAGGUGCGAAAGUGUGGGGAGCAAACAGGAUUAGAUA